rnacentral:lncRNA from 1 species
ACAAAGAGGAUGUCUGCAGUCCCCGUUCCUCCGCGUGUCAUCUGCCUUCCCAGCUUCGCCCCGGGGAGUGGGGGCAGGCGCGGAGCAGGGGCAUGCACUCAGUGGAUGUGGAAACUGCGGGGAAAAGUCAACAACUGUUCAUUGAUACCUGUACCUGUAGAGGAUCGGCCUCCUCAGUCAUCAGUGGACUCACCGAUACCUUCCCUAUUUCCUAGAGGACUGCCAUCCUCGUAUCAGGGGGCUGCUGACCAGAUGCUACUGGUGCAAGUAUGUACAUAUUUUACGUACCGUCUUACAUGUCAUUCUGAGCAUGUGCUAUGUGUGUUGUACGUUUGCUGAACGGAGUGGAUGAAAUCUUGUCCCAGUUAAACAGAACAGCCAAAUUCUCACUGUCUUCAGCAGAUUUAAGAUUUCAGGGUCUAAGGAAAUGAACCCCAAACCCCCCAGCCCUCCUCUCUGCAAUCUUUAACACUUCUGUAUGUAAGUGCCUGGCGUGUUCCUGUUGUUUCUGUUGUGGUUGUUAUCACCACCGCCAUGUACACAGUAGGAAGGAAGUCUUUGCUCUGAAGAGCUUGCACUCUGCAUAACCAACGAAUCACAGGUACGAUUUGUGUGAAAGACUGCAGGCAUGGAUAGUUUCACAUGCCUGGUGUGUACCGUGCAGGUUUACAGCACAGCUGGUCAGCAAAUUAGUUUUCUCCACAGAAAAUGUUAAUAUAACUUUCAGCAAAAACAAACGAACAAGCAAAAAACCGAAACGCCGAAACAUUUUAGCUGAAAAUGCUUCAAGAUAUUUCAAUUCCUGAAUAAUGCUGCGGAGCAUUGUGGGAGUUGGAGUUUUAGGUGGUUUGUGUUUCCAUUCUCUGCCAGAGGCCACAGGCCUGGUCAGACUACAUCUCCCAUGAUGCACCAUUCUCUCUCUCUCGCCGGGGUCACUGAACAUGAUGCAUGGUGGGAUUUUCAUGGUUGAAGAGUGUCAUGGGCACUAAAACCUAGCUGGAGAUGUUGGCUUGCUGAUGAGAAUGGGGAUGAGGAGCAAUGAAUUACACUUCCCAAGUGGUAGUAACAUAAAAUUUCUGAAUUGAAGAAUUUUGAUUGGAUUUUUCAGUUACAAAAUGUCCAUGAAGAGCGGGCGCUUUUCCCUCUGCCCACAAAAAAUAAAAUCAAAUCAGUGGAAAACUGAGUUUCCA